rnacentral:rRNA from 1 species
UAGAGUUUGAUCAUGGCUCAGAUUGAACGCUGGCGGCAGGCUUAACACAUGCAAGUCGAGCGGUAACAGGAAUAGCUUGCUAUUUGCUGACGAGCGGCGGACGGGUGAGUAAUGCUUGGGAAUAUGCCUUAUGGUGGGGGACAACAGUUGGAAACGACUGCUAAUACCGCAUAAUGUCUACGGACCAAAGGGGGGGAUCUUCGGACCUCUCGCCAUUUGAUUAGCCCAAGUGAGAUUAGCUAGUUGGUAAGGUAAUGGCUUACCAAGGCGACGAUCUCUAGCUGGUUUGAGAGGAUGAUCAGCCACACUGGGACUGAGACACGGCCCAGACUCCUACGGGAGGCAGCAGUGGGGAAUAUAGCACAAUGGGGGAAACCCUGAUGCAGCCAUGCCGCGUGUGUGAAGAAGGCCUUCGGGUUGUAAAGCACUUUCAGUUGUGAGGAAAGGUGUGUAGUUAAUAGCUGCAUACUGUGACGUUAACAACAGAAGAAGCACCGGCUAACUUCGUGCCAGCAGCCGCGGUAAUACGAGGGGUGCAAGCGUUAAUCGGAAUUACUGGGCGUAAAGCGUUCGUAGGCGGUUGAAUAAGCAAGAUGUGAAAGCCCAGGGCUCAACCAUGGAACUGCAUUUUGAACUGUUCGACUAGAGUACUGUAGAGGGGGGUAGAAUUUCA